rnacentral:lncRNA from 1 species
GGCCAUAAAACCGAUUCUUUAUUUGCCUUACUUGGUGGGUCCUCUAAUCUGAGCUUGUCGCAUCAAAGCUCUUAAGAUUUAUAAAUUAAGAAGUGCCUCAGUAAGUCCUACAAAACACGGCUGAGUUCUCUAUUCGUCCAUCAUCUAUCCAUCCUUCCAUCCAUCAAAUAUCAUUAAUAAUCACUAUAAUUCUCUCCAUUUCAUUUUUAUUGCUUUUACCCUAUUAUAGACCUCUUUAAAUUCUCACUUUUUUUGAUAAAAUACUGUCCUGAUUGGACUCCUCGAAAUGUGUAUCAUGUCCAGUUUUCAAAUAUUUUUGUCAUGUUAUCUUAUAAAAGAGUACUUUGAUUUUGUUCUUCCCGUUUAAAGGACAUAGUGUACAUAAUAAAUUAGUACCUCGGCUGGUCUAUAGUCGGUGCUCAGUAAAUACUCUUUUUGCCACAGCUACCCACCGGACCUGAAGCUAAGCACGGGGCAUGCAGCAGACACAAACAAGACAUGGAGGUCCGGUGGAUAUGAAGAACAGUAAAUAAUCUACCAGCAAACAAAAGGAUGGAGGCAGCAGUCAGGAGAAAUGAGGCAUCAGGGCAAAAAGUCUGGGAACCAUAAGAAGAGGACACACAAGAGGGAGAGUUCACUGUCCCACCCCUCCCUUAAUACUACAGCACUGGAUCCCUACUAUUGAUACACAGUUUUCCUUCUGCACGAGAUGGAAAGUUCUCAGAAGGAAAAGACUAUAUCCACACAAGGAAAGGCACCAAAGCUUGG